rnacentral:rRNA from 1 species
CCUACGGGUGGCAGCAGUAGGGAAUAUUGCUCAAUGGGGGAAACCCUGAAGCAGCAACGCCGCGUGGAGGAAUGAAGGUCUUCGGAGUGUAAACCCCUGUCAUGUGGGAGCAAAUUAAAAAGAUAGUACCACAAGAGGAAGAGAAGGCAAACUCGGUGCAAGCAGCCGCGGUAAUACAGAAGGCUCAAGCGUGGUUCGGAAUAACUGGGCGUAAAGCGUGCGUAGGCUGUUUCGUAAGUCGUGUGUGAAAGACGCGGGCUGAACCCGCGGACGGCACAUGAUACUGGGCGACUAGAGUAAUGGAGGGGGAACCGGAAUUCUCGGUGUAGCAGUGAAAUGCGUAGAUAUCGAGAGGAACACUCGUGGCGAAGGCGGGUUCCUGGACAUUAACUGACGCUGAGGCACGAAGGCCAGGGGAGCGAAAGGGAUUAGAUACCCUUGUAGUC